UAAGAACAAGAAGUCUUAAGUAUUGGCAUAUGUUGAUAUGUGGCCAAAAAGGUCUCUAAACAAUACAUUUUCUAUUCAUUCCAGAAACCUCAUACUCCGUUAUUUCUCUUUUAAUGCUGUUGGCAAAUACCCAUGUCACCAUCUAAUUUUGACUGUAGUUCAACUUUUUUAGUGCAAACUUAAUCCUCAUUAUAGUUGUAAACAUGUGUUUCAUUUGGCCUCGUGCUCAUGCGCUAAAGUGACAAAGGCAAUCUAGGGUUUGUAUCAGAAAUGGAGAUGUAUAGGUAAGCAUUUUGUUCAAUCUGCUUUGUCUCUUAUACAGAGAAAAUCAGCCCCGUUGCUUAAUAAGGAAGAAUGUUUUUAUAAGGCUCUUUGUGCUCUCGUGCUUGGCGUGUUUCCUGCUCUGCAGCGGGUUUUGGAAAGAUGGGACACUUCAAGGGAAAACAAGCAAGUGAAUCGAGGAAAUGUUGCAAGAGCCUUUGGGAUCUUGUGUACGAUCGUGGUCAUCUGCAAGGAAUCAGUUUUCAAAGAAGCAUCUGAUGGACUGACACCCACUGGAGCCAGGGACAAGAUGAAAUGCACUCAUUCAAAGCAGAUUAGGACUUACUGUUCUGGAAAUCAAGUGAGUUUUGAAGAGGCUGAUGAAGCUGAAUUUCAAAGCUACCAAUCUGGUUUUUAAAGUGUGUUGGGAUUCAGACUGGCAAUAGCAAAAAGGGGUUUUUACACCACAGAGUGGUCAUCCCUAUCUGACAACGAUGGAAAACCGUGACCGUUCAAUAGCUGUUGAUGGUUCUUUUACAAGGGAUUAAUGUGAUGCCUACUGAGUGACACAGGGCAUUGCUCUCAUCUCGGGAUGAAUGUUUCCAAGGUACUGCUCUGUGAGGACCACAGCCAGCUGAGAACUGAAAGCUAUGGGAGAGUGUGGCAUGCUUUGUAGAGAAGGCAGCAGUAAGGAGAAAUGCUAAAUAUAUCAGACAAAUCAUCUCUUCUUUCAUUGAACAACUCCAUUCAUGACUUCUGAUCCUGUUGGUAAGAGCUUUGAAUUUAAUUUCUACUGUCCCCCACCCAAUAUUUCUCGUGCAUUUGUUAUAUAGCUUCCUGCAAUCUCAUUUAUUGCUCUCCAGAGCUUACAGAAUGUGUGCUUCCUGCAAACUUCAAUUUAUAUUUUUGCCAUUAACUAUAGAUACUCUUUUGUUUGCACACUUAGAGAACUUUCAGUAUUUUCAGUGUGUUAACAUGGAAGAAACUGAAAAGAAUCUAUUUCUUGGUUGGAAUUGAUCGGGUUCUCAGCUGAAUGGUUGCAUUUCAGGUUGUUGGAAUUACACAGAAGCAGCUCUUGCGUUUCCCAUUGGUUGUACUGCCUUUUCUGCGUAUCCAGGUUCAGAAGCAGCAAAACCUUGGGUUUGGGUUUCCUUUUUCAUUUGUUCCCUCGAGGAAUGCUAGUAGGGAACAGUCAAGUGAACAAGAGCUGACGCUAGCUCUGCUUUAGAAACCAUUCAUGCUUUUCAGGUGCCCAGCUCCCGAACUACUCAGGGCAGGAGGGGAAAUGUAAACAUUGUGCUGUUAUUCAACCUACUACAUAAGAGCAUUGAGCCUGACAAGGCUCUGGGUACCCCCGUGCCCCAUCCUUGCCGAGAUCGGACGCCGAUAUCCCUCCUGCUGACAUGCAAUCCAGCAGC
ensembl:lncRNA